AUACACUCAAGAACAUGUAGAAAAGAACAAUAAAAACAAUGCAGGGUGAUGAGACCAUCCCAUAUCAAGAUCAAUGUAAAGAAUUCAAAAUAUUUUGCUUGAUAAAAAGAAGAGGGAUUUCAUCACACAAUUUGGAUUUUGGAAAGAUAUAUACAAAAGAUGGAAGUAAAGACAUGGAAAAUUAAUUUAAAAAAUGGAGCAUGGUCCAUUACAAAUAGCACCUCACAUGGAAACUCAUAAUGAGCAGAUUUUAGAGAGGAAGGCUGAGAGCAGGAAAAGAAUGAAUUAAAAAGCAAAAAUAUUAUAUUAGGGAAAAAGGGAGAUUAACAGAAUGCAGAUUCCUAUCUAGAUUUCCAGAAUGGAAAUGAUGAUAAUAAAUGUUUAAUUCUUAUUUUGUUUCGAUUUUCUCUGCUAAUAAAGUCUUUGGACUUUAAAAGAUAGAAAAAAUGAUUAAGCUGGGAAAAUCUCUCAUCCAAUAGGAAUGGGACCUCUUGGGAAAAGUAUACUCAUCAGCAGAGUGACAUGAUGACUGACAUGUGAUGAAUGUCAAAGAACUGGACAGGAGGAUAAAACCUCCUAUUGGUUUUGGAGAGAGGGAAGCAAGAUGAUUGAAGAGAAGAUCCUGGAAAAUAAAUAAUAAAACUGACCAACCAGAGGGCCAAAGUGGGUACCUGGUUAUCAGAAAUGUAAACAUCAUCUAACAAAAUAUGAAGUUAUUCCACUCUACCUUGGCUGUAGACUCCAUUGAUAGCUUUCUUCAUUCAACUCAAGGAAAUUUCUCUGAGACUCCUAGGCUGUGGAGAAUACUUGGCUUGUUGCUGAAGGAGUUAAAAGAAGGUGUUUAGUUCUAAAGGCUAGCUAGAUGAUCUCAUAAAACUUAUGGUCCUCACAAUAUUAUCAUAUCACAAUUGCUUAUCUUUUUUAGAAUCCAUGAGAGAUUCCUUUUAGCUUUAGCUCUAUGUUUUAACAUUAAGAACCUUAAAAUUAUUAGUAGGGGUAGGAGCUUCAAAUUCAAGUUCCCAUCUCUCAAUCCAUCCACUUACAUUUCUCAUAAAGAAAUUCUUUCCUUUUGAAAAGUGGAAAAUAUGGGUUAUGCAUUUACAACAUCACGUUUCCAGUUGAAAACUCAGUUACACUUUUAGUUGCUCCCAUCAGCACUUUUUUCCUUUUUAUUAAGUUGUUUUCAUCAAGUUCUCCAUUUGCUGAAGAUAAGCUUUGCCCCAAAUAGCUCAUGGGUAAUCAAGUUUAUAAGGACACUGUGAAAAAGCUAGCCACAUCUUUCCUCUCAUGCAAUGGUAAUCAGAAAAAGGAUAUAAGAAUUCAGCAUAAAGCACAUUUCUUAUCUGCAUGAAACCCUUCAUGACCUUAGAUUCCAAUUGAAUGGAACUAAAAAAUUAGCUAAAGCUUAUUUUGUAUUAUGUUUACAUUAUCACUAGGAGUCAAUAUUAUAAACUCCUUGAGGGUAGGGACUGUCUCAAGUUUGUGUGUGUGUGUGUGUAUCUUUGAAUUUCCAGUUCCUGCUACAGUACUUGGAAUAUGGUUUACACUUAAUAAAUGUUUCCUGAAUACAUUUUGUUGUAUGAGUUGAGUUUAAAUAGAUACUGAUGCAAUGACGAUAGAGUAGUCACUUAUUGUCACUAUAAUGACAAAAUCUUUUCAUUUUAAAAUCAAUUUUCAUUAGUUGAAAUCUGUUUCAUCAUAAGAUAGUUAAAAAAAGAAUAUAUUAUUUCACUCACCAUUCAUUGAGAAUCUCUUCUUGCAAAGAAGACCCUGAUUUAAGUUUUUGAGGGUCACAAAUAUACUUCUUAUAUAUAGCAACUCAUUCAUCAUAGUUUUUUUCUUUAAUUCAAAUUCAUGGAAUGAAAAGAUUGAAAAAUGGUCAUUUAUAUUCUUUUUUCCUAGACUGACUCAAUCAACCAACAUGGACUUAUUAAGUACUUAUUAUAUUCAAAGUAUUGUGCUAGAUACUAGACCUAUAGUUUCAUUGAAAUGAAUAACUCUCAGGUCAGGAAAUUCCUUGUACCAAUGUAGGCUGGCACUUUUACUGCAAUUUAUAAUCUUAGAUAACUGACUAUGGGCUCUAGAAGAAAGAAACAUGAAGUCCAAAGUUACAAAGCCCAUUAGGAUAGGUCAGAGGAGUUAUCUGAACCCAAGUUUACCUGAUGUUGGGAUCAGUGUUUUAUCUACUAGCUUAUGCUUGUUCUCAUAGGUUGUACUGGAGACAAAACUGGAAAAUGAAGCAAUCCUUUCUCUGAGAGAAAUUACGUUCCAUUGAUGCACAUAUACACAUACACACAUGUCUAUCUAGAAUACAUAUAUGCAAAAUAAAUUGAAAAAGAUUCUUGCAAUUUUCUUAGAUUAUUAGUAUUAGAGGAAGGGUACUAGCUAGGAGGAGAGAAGAAUUCAGUUAUGUAAGGAAGAUAAAUUUUCUCCACAUGGUGUAUCCAUACAUUUUAUCUUAUAUUCAGGCAGACCAUUUGAAGAAUUCAGAAACAGUUGGCUUUUGUUUUUUUGUUUCUUCUCUCUAGCUGAAAUGGUUUAAUAUUGCUUUAAGGUCUUACAUUUCUAUUGUAGAAACUUUCUUUUGUAUUCUUAGCUGUAUUCAUACUUGAAAAUCUUCCUUUUUUAUUUGUAUGUAUCUCUUGUACUUGUCACAGUGCUUUAAAAUAGUGCUAAAUAAAUGCUUUGUUCAUGAAUUCAUUUACUAUAUAAGGGAGAGGAAAAAAUUUGGCCAAUUUCUGGUUAAUUUCUUUAUUAUAGAUAGAAAAACAUAUCAAACACAUUCACUUUGACUAGCUAUAUCAAUUGUGUUAACUAAACAAUUGCUAAAAAAAAAAAAAAAAAAAAAAAAAAAAAAAAA